ACUCCUACGGGAGGCAGCGGUGGGGAAUCUUGCGCAAUGGGCGAAAGCCUGACGCAGCCAUGCCGCGUGAAUGAUGAAGGUCUUAGGAUUGUAAAAUUCUUUCACCGGGGACGAUAAUGACGGUACCCGGAGAAGAAGCCCCGGCUAACUUCGUGCCAGCAGCCGCGGUAAUACGAAGGGGGCUAGCGUUGCUCGGAAUUACUGGGCGUAAAGGGAGCGUAGGCGGACAUUUAAGUCAGGGGUGAAAUCCCGGGGCUCAACCUCGGAAUUGCCUUUGAUACUGGAUGUCUUGAGUGUGAGAGAGGUAUGUGGAACUCCGAGUGUAGAGGUGAAAUUCGUAGAUAUUCGGAAGAACACCAGUGGCGAAGGCGACAUACUGGCUCAUUACUGACGCUGAGGCUCGAAAGCGUGGGGAGCAAACAGGAUUAGAUACCCUGGUAGGCUCUGC
rnacentral:rRNA from 1 species